rnacentral:misc_RNA from 1 species
CCGAGUUUACAACUCCCAAACCCAUGUGAAUCUUACCUUUCGUUGCUUCGGCGGGAUCGCCCCGGGCGCCAUCGUGUGCCCCGGAUCCAGGCGCCCGCCGGGGGACUUAAACUCUUGUUUUAAUUUGUUUCUCUGAGUGGAUUACACAAAUAAUCA